GCUGAUAUGGUGUGUUUACUGCCAUCGCCUGUGAUGCCGAUGACCCCAGCCCACUUUCUGCUGUAUUUAAACCCAGGCAUACACUUUAGAUUCCCAUCAUUACAGUGUCCCAACUUGGAAAAAUGUCCAUGAUGAAGAGGUCAGUGUUUGUGGGAAUCUUCCUGCUUGCUCUCGUCUCUGUGAUCCAUGCUGGAUGCAAGUUUGAGAAGCUAGAACAAGGUGCGACUCGAUGUGAGGAUGACUUUGAUAAAACGAUCCAUCCGAUCGGAACCACCUGGAAAAACAGCAUGUGUGAACGCUGCUCAUGCAAAGCCACUUUUAAAAGCUGCUGUACCGGAUGGCCAACAAGUGCAUCUGGAGACUGCACCAUUAAACAUGAUUUUAAAACCUGUACAUUUGAAGUGGUUCACCUGUAUAAAGACGCUCCCUGUAUGGUUAUUGGAAAGUGAUUGUAAAGAUGAGAGAGAAACUGAGAGUUUUUAAUAUCAAACAAUUAAGAGAGCAGAAAUACAAAUAUAAUGUGAUGAUAACUUAGAACCUAUAAUAAAGAUUUACUUACUGAUUUUUUAUAUAUAUAUUGUGGCUUGAUGUGUCAGAAAAGAAGACUGGAGCGUCUGGUUUAAUUAAGAAAAGCCUGUUUAAUGUACAAUACUUUGCUGAGAAAAAUGUAAUCUGUUGGAAAAAUCAGAUGAACUGAUCCUGAACUCAAACAGGUGGAUGUCGGUGCAAGAAAGAUAGUGAUAAUAGUGAAGCAAAAACAGACCAAAACCAGAAGGAUGUAAUGAAGAGUUCUCUUAACUAAUGGAGAUCAGCUAGAAAACAGGAAGCAGGAGCGUUAGAGUUCAGGUGAGGGUGAAUGAUGGGAAGUCUGGAUGGAGGAUGGAGAUGAAAUGGUGGCUCCUGGAUGUGUGGUGGAGAUGGAUGUGAUUUUAACCUCCACCUCACCUCCUCUAACCCUUCACACUUGGAAUAAAACAAACAUUUUGGAUUUUCAAUAAAAAAAAAGCUGUGUGCUUUACAAGCUAAAUUUUAUUCGUUUGGUGCUUGUAAAGAUGUACACUGUCAAUAAACAGCUUUAUAGAAAUAAAUACAGGACGUAAAUUUUUUAUUUAUCCCUUAUUUACAUUUCCAGAGUGACUUACAUUUUUAUCUCAUUUCAUACAAGAUUACAUUUAUGAUUUUGUUUAGGCCCCAUUCAUCACAUACGACUCACAAGAUGCCAUGUAUAAAGACCACGCGUGGAAUGCAUUUAACAUUUUCCGCUCUCGUAGCUAACCUAGGGUUCUCUUGGCUCAGCAAACGCAUCUCAAACUCAUUGGUAUUGAUUUUUGUUCAUAGUUGCUCUCUGCAUCUUUCUUUUCUUUUCUUCACUUAAGAAACUCUCUAAGUACAGCAUUGCACAAACCUUGCUGUUUACUGCCAUCGCCUUUCAUGCCAACGACCCCAGUCCUCUUUAUGCUGUAUUUAAACCCAUGCCACUAAUUUAGAUUUACAUAAUUACAGUGUCUCAAUUUGGAGAAAUUAUGAGUCGACCUAACAAUAUUAUAAGGAGUUAUUUCCCAAAGUAGAUUGUUAUUACAUGUAAUGACUCGUAGGUUUCAUUAACAUUUCCUGAUAUUAAGUGGAUGUGUUAAUCUUGGUUCAUACAGAAUGGCAAGUUUUGUGAAUGCAUUUGUUGAAAUGGUUGCUCUAAUAGUUAUGAAUUAUAAAAAGUGCCCAUUGGUAGUUCAGUUAAUCAUGUUAAUGAAGAAUUAUAACAUACAGUAAGUAUCAGCAACUACGAUGAUAUAACUAUUACAAUUAUUUAGUCCAGUGAAACCUGUUCACAGCAACAGGAAUUAAUGUUUAUGCACUUUUAUAUUUUAUAUUGUACACAUUGUAUAAAAUUUUGGAAUAUAUACGUAUUUUAUUCUACUUUAUUGUCAUGGGUAUUUUUGUGUAGAUUCAUGACAUAUAAUCCUUUACAGUUCCACAUUAUAACAAAACAAGAUGUGUAAAACCUCAGGGAGGUAAAUACUUAUGUAAGGUGCUGUAAUGGCUGUGAAGUUGAGAGUUGAUAAAUAAUGUACCGUAAGGGUAAAGAAAUCUUAACUUCAGGAUCUGGAGAUCUCUUAAAGAAACAGAGAGACUUUUUUUGUUUUAUUUGCUUUUUUGGUCCCAAUAAUAAAGAGCUCAGUGUUUGUGGGAAUUUCCCUGCUUGCUCUAGAUGGAAACCCUACGACAAAGUAGAUAUUUACACACCCACACUUGGCUUUUAACUAAAUUCAGAGAAAAAGCUAAUAAUAUUUAUUGUUUCUAUAGUUUAUAUAGUUUGCCUUUGUACUUUUUCCAAACCUAUAAGGGCAUCUACAUCACAUUACUCCUGCUUCAACUUGUGUAGCGCGAUUGGAUGCCCAGGAUGUGACAAGCAACACAGCGACUCAUUCCCUUCUCAGGGAACAGGGUUAGAUACGUAGCCUGGUGUAGUUCCCUUCAUGGCUGAUGCUAUGGGAACAUCAAAACCCCUGCUGCCACAUGCUGGUUGAUGUCUGUCCCAGAGUCCAUGAGAGAGUACAAGCAAACCGGAACCAGAACAUCAAUUAGCCCUGAAGGACCUGGGUACCUGAAGUGGGGUCCAGGUUAUAGAACUUGAUAAAGGUGUGCAGAGAGGAUGCAGCACACAUUUCUUGGAGAGGAACACCCCUGACCAGGGCACUAGAUGUGGUGAUACCCCUAGUAGAAUAAGCAUUGACACCUAGAGGCCUGGGUAAUUGCCUCUACUGUGCAACAAGUGUUGCUUGGAGACCGGAUUGCCCUUGUUCUGGCUCCCAAAGCAGACAAACAAAGAGGAGGACUUGUGCCACAAGCUCAAGUGAAGGACAUUAGUUCUCAGAGGCUUUACCAGGCAAAGCAAGUGCAGCCUCUCCUGUUCCGCUGACUCAUGGGGCAAAGGACAGAAGGCCUACAAGGUGUCCAGACAACUGACCAUCCUGGGCACCUUGGGGAUGUAUUUUGCCCUAGGGUGCAGGAUAGCCUUCGACAUGCCAGGGGCAAAUUCUAAGCAGGCUCAGCCACCUGGCACAGCACAGAAAACCAGAGACCAGAGGUUGCCUAUCCAAGGAGGCCCCAAGGACAGGUUUGUGAUUCGCCGCAAUGGUGGCCACAAACACUUUUAAAGUGUGGGGGACAGCCCCUGAGAAAGGUAAGACUGCAGAAACUCCAGCACUGUAACAACCGGGCAGUGAACUGGGUCCUGAAAACAUUGAUCACACCAGUGGCAAAAAAGCCUCCACUUAAGAAUGUACAACUUUCUAGUGGAGGGAGCCCUAGUGUUCAACAAAAUCUCCACUACCUUAGAUGAGAGGCCUGCCUCUAGGAACUGGUCCCCCUCAGGGGCCAGCCUUGUUUUUUAAGCCCUCAGCAUCUGCCUCAACAGGAAGUCUGCAUCCCGAUUUACAUGCCCUGGGAUGAAAAUUGCUCUCAGUGAAAGAAACCUGGCCUCUGCCCAUAGCAGAAUCUGCUGCCUCAACCUAAACAGGGGGCACGAACACAGCCCUCCCUGAUGACACUAACACAUGGUAGCCCCUGAGGUGUGGGAGAAAGUGUUACAAUGCUAGAAACAUGACUCUCACUUUCUGGCAAUUUAUUUGCCAAGACUGCUCCCCAGCCAGAAAGUGAGGCAUAUGUUGAAAUUGUCUUGUGACGAUGACCCGCCCCUAAAGUGGGACCCGGGGUAUUUUCCAUAUUAGAAGAGUAUGAAGCCAUGGCACAUGACCCUUAUUACCCUGAGGUGAUGCCACCAGGGAUGAAAGCUCACACGGCCUUGUGUGAAGCAGGCCUAAAUGGAUAACAUUGGUUGUCACUAUCUGCAUCUCAGUGACAGAGAGGCUUUGGCCUCCUAUGGGCAAGCACAGCAUCUCAAUGGCUGGCCACCAUAGCCUUCAACUGGGCCAGAAUGAGAAUGUUAAUUCAGUACAUGGAUGCUCUUAAGACACAGCAGCACCAGGGCAGCAUCCAUGCACUUCCUAAAUGUAUGUGACCAUAGGGCUAGACCAAAAUGUAGAACAUAAUACUGGUAUGCUUUGCCCAUGAAAGCAAACCAGAGGAACUUCCUCUGCUUUGGCAGAAUGCCUCUGUUGAAAUAGGCAUCUUUGAGGUCUAUUGUCACAAACAGUCCUCAGACAUAAUCUGCGAUGCAAGAAGAUGGUGUGUGAGCAUCUUGAAUAUCGUGCACAGUUCAGAACCCGCUGGUUCAAAAUUGGACUUAGCCACCCAUCUUUCUUGGGAACAACAAAACACCGGCUGUAAAAGCCUGAGUCUUGAUCUGGGAGGGGAACAUGUUCUAUGGCCAUUUUCCUCAGAAAUGAGAGAAGUUUCCCUUGGAGGAACAAGGUUUGGUGUUCGCCUGGUUGGAGCUGGAAGACAUCCCAGACUGCUUACUGCAGUGGGGGAUAAAUUUCCUGAAUGCCACCGACUAGCACUUUACCUCAAGGUGCCUGUCAACAACAGUAUUCACUGUGUCACUAAACAGGCCUUUGGGUGAAAUUGGGGUGUCCAGGAGAAAGGACUUAUUUAAUCCCUGUUUAAUUAACCCACAGGUGCCUUUCCAUGGCAACUAACACAGCCAUAGAAUGGCCUAUGGCAAGGGCCGUUUGCUUCGUGGCACGGAGUAUGAGAUCUGUGGCUUUGCAGAGCCUGCCAUGUAGGCCUUCCCCACAGUGGCUGAGGUGGCUCUACAUGGCUUAGAAGGGAGUGCAGGCUUUCUGGAUAUGGGUGAUGUAGGGGAGAGAUAGCUUGCAAGCAUCUCUUCAACCCUAGGCAAGGCUGCAUAUUCAUAGAUAAUAAGCCCCACAAUGGCUGAAUAAUUAAAAUGGGCAGAAUAGGGAUUCCCCUAGGAUCUCAAUACCUCAGCAUGGAAGUCUGGGAAAAAUGUCAGUUGCCUGCAUGGGGGUGGAAGGUGGCCUGAAGCUUAGAACAAAUGACCCAAACUUCCUCCUCAGGCCAAUUUAAAUGUAAUUUAGCAAUGGUGAGCUCCUCGAAUUUCACUGAUUGCAUGGCACAGAAGCUUGGCUGGAAAAUACAGUCAAAUGGGAUUGGAACUUGUGAAGACUAAUCCUCUCACAAUGCAUGCAACCGGCCCCCUCAGUAGCAAACCAGGAAUGCUCCUCUCCCAAACAAUCAAUGCAAAGAGAUUAUGUGUUGUCCUCCAUGAUAUAUCGGGCACGGAUGCAUACACCUCUUAAACUGCUUUCUCGCUAUGAUAUCUUUUUUCUCCUAGUCUAGACAGACAGGACAAACAAUUGACAUAAACAUACACAGAGCACUUCCUGAAAACAAAGAAGCUGGAGUAAUGUGACAUAGAUGUCUUUAUAUGGACUUGUAGGCACGUAUUCCCUUCAUCACAUGUUAUAUCUGAGAUAUUAAAGUGCUUCACAGAGCUUCAGACUCUUCCUCAAUGAAGUGUUCCCAUAGCAUCAGCCAUGACACAGCAUCGAGUUCCAUUGAAAGGGAACCCCUAUUCUUUUCCAGUACUAACACUGAUAAAAAAGAUGUCCAAACAGCCGAGUCUUCAAACAGUGGCAGUCUUGAAACAGCGUCUAAAACCCAAAGUCUUCAUGGAGAACUUAAUAUAGCACUUAAAACCUUCUAGUCUAUGUGCUUACUGUAUUUCCUCCUGACAGAGUGAACCGGUAUCAGGGUGUAUUUAUUGAUACAGACUUCAGAUCACUUCUGGAUAAGGAGGAUUGAAGAAAUGCUGUAAAUGGACAUGUUCUGCAGCUGCAGAAUGAUCUGAUUGAAUAACUGCAUGAAUGAUCAGUUGUAUAGGUGUUCUUAAUAAAGUGGGAAUGAGUGUAUAUUACACCAUGAUGCUGAGCACUGACUCAGGUGUGGGUCAUUGUAAGGAUGAAUUUGAUAAAAUGUUCUAUCCGAUUGGAACCAACUGGAGAAACAGCAUUUGUCAUCGCUGCACGUGCAAGUCUGCUUACAAAGCUGCUUUAUCGGGUAAAUACGCACAGGCUAGUAUAAUGCUCUUACAGCCAAAAUAUGUGCAACACAAACCAUUUCUAGGGUUAGCUUGAAAUCAGCUGUGGCAUAGUUAAUCACAGUGUGUGUGUGUGUGUGUGUGUGUGUGAUUCCCCUGGCUCCCCUGGAAUAGACUCCAGGCUCCUUGUGACCCUGUGUAUGAUACCCAGUACAGAUUAAGAAUAAAUGGACUGAUAGUUUGAACUUGAACCAGUUUGAUGGCUUGCUAACUAUUUCACUUUAGCCGCCUAAUUAAAACGUGCUUAAUGAUGAAAUUAGUUAGCUUCAAAAAUAAAAAUAUUCUAUCUGUUGUAGGAAUGGCAAAAAAGUUACAUCUAUUUGUUUUUUGUAAUCCUUUUACAAAACGUUCAAAAUUUAAUGUACAAUUUAACAGCAAUCCAAAAAAUAAGGCAGAAACAUUUUGAAAAGGUGUUAUGCCUUGAUCAUCUGGAUUUCGAGACCUGACUAGCUAAAUUUAGAGAUAGCACCAAUAAAUCACCAUGGAUGGGCAAAGAAACGUAAGUCAGACGAUAUGCUAAACAUUAGAGACAAAUAUAAAGGCAAUCCAAAUAGCUUUCUUUCUUUCUUUCUUUCUUUCUUUCUUAGUUUUGUUUCUUUCUAUUAUUCUAUCAAUGAUUACUAAUAAAGAUAACAUUACCAAGUCGAUGUUUAGUUUGAGUCUUUAAUGUCUCCUUUGAAGAACUCACACUACAGUUUGAGGUUUUCAUGGUAGUUGGUUGUCCUGGGUUUAUGAGAACGUGUGUGUGUGUGUGUGUGUGUGUGUGUGUGCGCGUGUGUGAGUGUGCUAGAAAACAGGAUGCAGGAUCAUUACCUUCACCUCACCUCCUCUAACAGUUUACACAAGCAAAGCAUUUUGGAUUUGCUUUCCAAAAAACUGAGCUGCAAGCUGUAAAAUUUGAUUCAUUCAUGUUUCCAUAUUAAAUUUGAACAUUUUAUCAAUCACAUAUUUAAUUAAAAAUCACAUUAAUUCAAUUCAAUUUUAUUUGUUUGGUGCUUGUAAAGAUGGACAAUGUCAAUAUGCAGCUUUAUAGAAAUAAAUACAGGAUAUACAUUUUAAAUGAAUAAAUGUAUCCCUUAUGAUGCUGCCAGAGGUGAUGAAGGAGAUGGUAUGAGGAAGAAACCUGGAGAGGAACCAGACGCAAAAACGAACCCAUCUUCAUCUAUUAGUUUUUAUAUUUGUUUCUCCCAGGAAUUUGAGCAUGAAGUAUAUUAAUGAAGUAUAUAAAACUUUUUAAAUAAAAUGAGGAUGAGGAUCUAAUGAUGAUGAUGAUGUAAAAGCUAUGAUUUCUCUGUAAGGGUAACUCUGUUAGUGUUCACUCAGGUUUAUUAUCUGCUUCUGGGUUCACAUUUCUUGGAUUAUACCUUUGACUUUUUGUCUGUUGACUUGGAGUGAUCACUGGAAGUAUGUGUAAUGCCACUAAUCGAUUGUCAGGAUGACGUGGAUGUGACAUGACACGGCACCCGGUCUUAUCCAGAUGGACAGACAGCAUGUGUGCAGGGUAAGCAUGCACUGUGGAAAUGAUGGAAUGCCGUGACACUUAAACACACACUGGAUACUGUACUGCAGCAACAUGUUUGUAUGUAAUGUAAAACAUUUCACUGUUGGCGAGUCAGAGGACAUAUUUGUAUCUCGAGACAUUUGGUAGAUGCGCUUAUACAGAGCAACUUAAGGGCCUUGCUCAAGGGCCUAGCAGUGGCACCUUGGUGGAUCUGGGAUUCAAAGUCACAAACUUCCAAUCAGUAGUCCAACGCCUUAUUAUUAUUACGUUAAUGUAGAUUACUGCGUCACACUAUUAAUAAACACAAUCACAAUUAGUUUGCUUCAUUCAGGCAUCAAAUCAAAACAAACACAGCUGCUAAAAAUAAUGUUAAAAGAUGUUAAUGAUAGAGUUGUGUACGGUGUAUGCUCUAUGUAUUGCUGAGGCAAAAGCUUGCGUCGCCAAAAUAAUUUGGAUGGGAAAAGAAAAUUGUAAAGCCUUUUUUUUUUGGAAAAUAUUGAAAUUUUUCAUUUUUUCGGAUUGUACCUUCAACUUUGUAUAUUUGGCUCUUGUAUAUUUAUAUGUAUUUUUGUAAAUAGACAAUAUUUCUUGGAAUUACAUAAAAGUGAAUUACUCAACUAACAGCAUGAGGAGAAACCUGAUGAUGAUGAUGAUGAUGAUGAAGACGUGAAAUCUAUGAUUUCUCUGAAAGAUUAACCCUCAUUGAGUAAACUCUGCAAUUACGUAAAUUCUAUUUCUAUGGAGUAUUUACUGGAAUUGUGUGUGAUGCCUUUAUGUCCAGCCCUCUUUCUGCUCUAUUUAAACGUGAGUAUUUGCUUCAUGUCAGAGGUUCUGAAAGAUCAGAAUAAGGGUUGUAAGACUGUAAAACUGUGGAAAUGUUUAAUGAGCAAGUAGUCUGUGAAAAGUCCAUGAUAAAGAGAUCUGUGUUUGUGGGUUUUAUCCUGCUUGCUCUCGUACCAUUGAUUCGUGCUGCUUGCUGGACUCAACCGAACAGUCCUGGUGCGACUCAUUGUCAAGACCACCUGGAUAAGACGUGGCACCCGAUCGGGGCCAAAUGGUUUAACAGCAGGUGCACAAGGUGCACAUGUGGUCUGGAUGGGAUGCAUUGCUGUGACAC